ensembl:lncRNA
UCCAUGGCAGGAGAGAGAAAUCUGUGGUCCAAGAGAGCUGUACAAAGGGGGUUGUGGGGAGGUGGAGGAGAGGGAGCAGGGCAUCCUGUUCCCCUCUUCCUGGGUUAAACCAUGUGCUGGAAGGAUGUGUUUGCUGGUUGGGGGCAUGGCAGAGCCGGCAGCUCCACCAACAGCAGCCCGUGGGCUCAGGGAGGUGCUGCCCAAAUUCUGCAGUCGGUGUGAAUUCCUUGUCAGCGUGGAUAUGUGAGACCAAACAGACACUGAAGUUAAUGAAACAAGGGAAAUAAAAGUGAUCUUGGACAAGAAAAGGCUUCUGUUCUUUCCAUAACCGUAUCUCAAUGGUGGUAUUUUGAGCCUGUGGCUCAGAUGAGGGGCUGGAAAUCCUGAAAAAAACAGCUGCGGUUUUCCAUCAGACACACAAUUAGCUCCAGGAAGGAUGGGCUAGCUGGGGAAAUCUGCUCUCCCAACCACUUUGGGGAAGGGGAGAGCGCAUUUACACAGUGGCAGAUGCCUUGGAGAUAUGUGGAAAUAGAAAGGGAAACUCCCACUGAAAAGAGAAGCAGAAAAUUCCCUGGUGCACUUGUGUUUACGAGCAGUUGGAUGGUGAGAGUGGGAAGCUGGAGGAGCACGGCCUCCUCUGUCCAUCUUGCAAGCAAGGAAAGCCAGAGGCUUGGAUGCUUCUGUUUUAGACGCCCUUCUUGGGGAAUAGCAAGAGUAAUUCUGGGAGGAGAAAGGAAGAGGUUACUUCAUCAAGGCCUCUGCCUUCCAGCUCCUACCCAAACUUUUCUGUCUACAGGGCUCUAAAGCUCCACUAAAGGGAUGUCCAAUGCAGCCAGAACAAAUAAUCCGUGAUCUGAAAUAGCUCCCUCAUGUCCUACUCUCUAUAACCAAUAGCAACUGAAUGAGCCUGGCACUGUCCCUCAGAAGUGGAGCAUGUUGUUAUGUUGGUUAUUUCGUUUCAUACUCUGGAAAUCAAAGCUCUCAGUGGGAGAAUGAAGAAGAGAAGCACUUUAUUAAUUUUUUUUUAAGUCUGUGUGUAACUCCUGUAAUAUAGGAGUGAAAUGUCAGCACAGGAGAUGCUAAUGUUUUAUAAAUGAUUUGGGUGCAGCAGGCACUGUGGAUAGUCUUUGAGAUGAAUUAUAUUAGAACAGACUACGCCUGGCUCAAAACCAUAAUUGUAUUUUUAGUAUCUUUUCCUUUAACAUGUAGGAAAAAUAAAGGCAACUCCAUGGUGUAUUACAAGCCUUGUCAAUCAAGUGCUCUAACUCUUAGUGAUAAAGGCAACUGUUUAAAAACCAGAAGGGAGACAUGAUACACUGCUAAAUAGGAGAUGUCUCUUGACAUGGCAUUGUAGUUUAACCUGGCAGGCAGCUGAACACCGUUCAGCAUGGCCGUGCUGGAAUUGGGGAGAGGAUUGGGAAAAAUACUAGUGACAUUCAUGGCUUGAGAUAAGGCUGGUUUAACAGGACAGAAAUUGGAGAAAUAAUAAUAGCAACAAUAGAACUGGAAUAUGCUAACCAAGUGAUCACAACACAGUUCCUCACCACCUGCUGAUGCCCAGCCAGUCCCUCAGUUUAUAUACUGACCAUGAUUCCAUUUGGUUUAGGAUAUCCCUUUGGCCAACUGGGAUCAGCUGUCCCUUCCCAGUUUAUUUUGCCCCACAGCAUCCUCAGAGGAGCAGAAAAGUCCUUGACUCAGGGCAAACACUGCUGAGCAACAUCAAAAAAUCCAUGUGUUAUCAAAACUAUUCUCAUCCCAAACCCAAAUCACAGCUCCUAGAAAAAAAAAUCAACUAACCCAGCCCAAACCAGGACACACAGGCUCCUGAUAUUCCUCCUGUCUCCUCCUUAGCUGCCAUGCCUCCCUGCUCCCAUCCUUCUUCCACGACCACAGCUCUUUGAGGAUAAACUAAAUUUUUAUGGCAUGCUCUGACACUCGGGCUCGACAACGAACUUCCCGGCUGCGUGGUUCAGCUCACCACGGCCCUGGGUUCAUGCUCAUGUGUCUUUUCCCCAGCUCCUUCCUACAGCAUGUCUUCAUGCAUUUUGAAUGUUGCUCUGAGGCCCGGCAGAAAUCCCCUCUCCUCUGAAGCAGCAGCUCUCCAGUGGAGCGGACGUAGGUGCGACCCAGACUUGCCGGAGAUUGUCUGACUCAGGCUGGAGAUAAGUUGGAGAAACUUGGGAUCUCGUUAGAGCUGCUCCCAGACGCCCAAGGUGUCUGGGCAGGGUAGAGAGCCGAUUCCCAGAGUGGUGGGAAGCACCAGGGCCACUCGGAGGUGACACCAGGCUGGAACUGGGAGGUGAUGCUGCAGCCAAGGGGAUGAGGUUCAGCCACGUGCAGGUGCUGCCCCUGGGUCACCACAGCCCCUACAGGCCUGGGGCAGCUUCUGGAGAGGGGCCCAGUGCGAAAGGACCUGGAGGUGCUGGUCAACACUGGCUGAACGUGAGCCUAGGUGGGCAAGAAGGACAAGGGCACCUGGCUUGGGGUCCCCAUUCCUGGAGGGAUUUAACAGAGCUGUGGAUGUCCUUGGGGACGUGGUUUACUGAUGGCCUUGGCUGCGCUGAGGUAACUAUUGGAUUUUAUCACCACAGAGGUCUUUUCCAACCUAAAUGAUUUCGUGAUUUUAUACAUUCUAAACCCUUCCAUGCUCCUAUCACAAGCUCAUCCUUUGGAUCCCUCUCAGGGCGGGGGCAGACAAGCCCCGUUGCCUGGGCAGACACUGCCAGUAGCUCCCCACAGCUCAGCUGUGAGCUCCACACACCUCCCCUGGGAAAAAUGUCACCUCAGUCUUUAUUUGUUCAUCAAUUUGCCUUUUCUGUGCUGCUCUGGAAGAUGAGACCCGUCCCUGUUGUUGUGGCUGCUUUCCCCUUCCUUCCAUCAGUGAGCUUGAAUGCUCUGACUUUGGGCUGUUCAUGCAAAUCCUUUCCAUUAAAAAAAAUAAACACCAGAGAACCCAGAAGAGACCCCAGACUGUGCCUCUGGAAUUUCACUCCCAGCGGCAGAAUCCCGUUUCCUGAGUCGGAGCCAAUUUUCUCUCCUUUGUACCACUUUUCCACAGUUUCAUCCCAUAAUUGCUAAUAUAGAGCUUUUCGUAGAUGCUUUGAAAUCAGAAACCACGCAACACUGCAUCUCUUUUAUCCUCCCAGGCAGGAUGAAAAACCAAACACCUCUUGGAUACUGAGAAUAAAUUUUUAGUUUAUCAGCCUAAAGCAACAUCACGAGACCACAGUUUCUCCUGUAUUCCCCCUCACUUCCCAGACCACGCUUGUGCCCCCCCUGCACCAAUUCCAAACUAUUUCCUUUGUCUCAGAAAGUUUCUUUGUGAUACGUUCCCCUUCAGAGGGACAGAGCAGAACAAAACCACCACAUUUCUUGCAGCUAAAUAACACUUUUCUUGCAGUCCUUCAAGUUUAUCCUUCCCUAAAUCCCCUGCCUGUGUAUUCUUUCCCUGUCUUAGCUUCAACCACUCCCUCUGGAACACUUCCCAAGAGCCCAUUUCCCAUUACCAAGAUUAUUUCCCUUUUCAUCACUAUCUCCUUGAGCUCCUGCUGGUUUGCACCAACCCCCUGUGCCCCCAGCCCCCCUUACCACAUCCAGCAGCCCCUGAGCUCACCCCUGCUUUGGAGAAACACGAGAUACUGACACCAGUGCUGGUGGGAGCAGUGAUUCCAGGGAUGCUGUUGUAUUCCUGACUGCGUUGGAGUUUGUGGGUUACAGAUGGAAGCAAAAGCAGCUCUGAAAGCAGGACACAGGUGCUCAGGCUCUGCAAUGUGUGUUUUUGGGGAAGGUGUCAUGCUGACGAGCCAAAAACAUCUCUGCCCACAUAAAAGCAGCCCCAGAGCAGCACCCCUCCAGAGUCCCCACCCAUCUCUGUCCCCCCCUUUCCCAGCCUUCAGCAGGGAGAAGGAUGUGGCAGCUCAGUGACCACCUCUGGUCCCCACUCGAAGGAAGCUGAUUUGGUGAACAACACAACUCCCUCGUUACCCAGCUCCCUGCUGGAAAUAGCUGCUCAGUAAAUCCAUUUUUCCCCCCACCCUGUGAACACGGGUAAAAUUCUCCCCACACCCAGCCACUCUGCAGAUGCAUCUUUAUCUCUCUGCAGGCUCAUCCCCACCCUCAUCCGCACAGCCUGAGUCCUUUCUGGAGCUGCCCCUCCAUCCUCUUCCUCCUUUGUGAAAACAGAAUCAAAAUAACUGUUUAACAAAUCAGCCAUUACCUUCUCUCAUGUCACCAAUUCCCCGCUAUCAUUUCGUAAUUGGCCAAUUUUCUCUUUUACCUUCUCUCUGCUCUGAAUAUGUCUCGGGGAGCUCUGAUUGUGUGUUAAAAUAUCCUCCCUAAUUCACUGCUCAAUAUCUCUUUCUGCUCUUCUAAUUGCCCUUUUAACUUCCUUCUAAUUUUUUUAUAAAUCUCCUAAUCCUCCUCCUGCACAGGUUGUUUACAUGCACUGGAGAAUGUAUAUGUAUUAGCAGAUGUUCCUGGGUAAAUAAUGCACAAAAGAAUAUUACUGCUUCACGCAAGCUGCAAUUACUGCUUCCCUCAGAAUAAGCCCUGUUUAACCCUCCUAUUUAGGGCACACGCCCCUGCUCUUGCUGCACAUCUCCAGGCUAUUUCACUCCUGCUGCAGAACAUUAACACCACCAGCUCCACCACAGCUCCCUCGCUACCUUCUG